rnacentral:sRNA from 1 species
UCCAGCUCCUAUGGCGAUGUCCCCGCCAACA